GUGGAGACUGAGGAAACAGAGUCCUUGAAGUCAAGUGACUCUGCUUUUAGCCUCCUAAAGGAAAAGGUAGAUAGAACAGGUCUUGUUUGCAAAAUACAUUCAAGACCUACUUAUUUACCAACAGCA
ensembl:snoRNA